rnacentral:rRNA from 1 species
UACGGAGGGAGCUAGCGUUGUUCGGAAUUACUGGGCGUAAAGCGCGCGUAGGCGGCUUUGUAAGUUAGAGGUGAAAGCCCGGAGCUCAACUCCGGAACUGCCUUUAAAACUGCAUCGCUUGAAUCCAGGAGAGGUGAGUAGGAAUUCCGAGUGUAGAGGUGAAAUUCGUAGAUAUUCGGAAGAACACCAGUGGCGAAGGCGGCUCACUGGACUGGUAUUGACGCUGAG